rnacentral:rRNA from 1 species
AAAUUGAAGAGUUUGAUCAUGGCUCAGAUUGAACGCUGGCGGCAGGCCUAACACAUGCAAGUCGAACGGUAACAGGAAACAGCUUGCUGUUUCGCUGACGAGUGGCGGACGGGUGAGUAAUGUCUGGGAAACUGCCUGAUGGAGGGGGAUAACUACUGGAAACGGUAGCUAAUACCGCAUAACGUCGCAAGACCAAAGAGGGGGACCUUCGGGCCUCUUGCCAUCGGAUGUGCCCAGAUGGGAUUAGCUUGUUGGUGGGGUAAAGGCUCACCAAGGCGACGAUCCCUAGCUGGUCUGAGAGGAUGACCAGCCACACUGGAACUGAGACACGGUCCAGACUCCUACGGGAGGCAGCAGUGGGGAAUAUUGCACAAUGGGCGCAAGCCUGAUGCAGCCAUGCCGCGUGUAUGAAGAAGGCCUUCGGGUUGUAAAGUACUUUCAGCGGGGAGGAAGGGAGUAAAGUUAAUACCUUUGCUCAUUGACGUUACCCGCAGAAGAAGCACCGGCUAACUCCGUGCCAGCAGCCGCGGUAAUACGGAGGGUGCAAGCGUUAAUCGGAAUUACUGGGCGUAAAGCGCACGCAGGCGGUUUGUUAAGUCAGAUGUGAAAUCCCCGGGCUCAACCUGGGAACUGCAUCUGAUACUGGCAAGCUUGAGUCUCGUAGAGGGGGUAGAAUUCCAGGUGUAGCGGUGAAAUGCGUAGAGAUCUGGAGGAAUACCGGUGGCGAAGGCGGCCCCCUGGACGAAGACUGACGCUCAGGUGCGAAAGCGUGGGGAGCAAACAGGAUUAGAUACCCUGGUAGUCCACGCCGUAAACGAUGUCGACUUGGAGGUUGUGCCCUUGAGGCGUGGCUUCCGGAGCUAACGCGUUAAGUCGACCGCCUGGGGAGUACGGCCGCAAGGUUAAAACUCAAAUGAAUUGACGGGGGCCCGCACAAGCGGUGGAGCAUGUGGUUUAAUUCGAUGCAACGCGAAGAACCUUACCUGGUCUUGACAUCCACGGAAGUUUUCAGAGAUGAGAAUGUGCCUUCGGGAACCGUGAGACAGGUGCUGCAUGGCUGUCGUCAGCUCGUGUUGUGAAAUGUUGGGUUAAGUCCCGCAACGAGCGCAACCCUUAUCCUUUGUUGCCAGCGGUCCGGCCGGGAACUCAAAGGAGACUGCCAGUGAUAAACUGGAGGAAGGUGGGGAUGACGUCAAGUCAUCAUGGCCCUUACGACCAGGGCUACACACGUGCUACAAUGGCGCAUACAAAGAGAAGCGACCUCGCGAGAGCAAGCGGACCUCAUAAAGUGCGUCGUAGUCCGGAUUGGAGUCUGCAACUCGACUCCAUGAAGUCGGAAUCGCUAGUAAUCGUGGAUCAGAAUGCCACGGUGAAUACGUUCCCGGGCCUUGUACACACCGCCCGUCACACCAUGGGAGUGGGUUGCAAAAGAAGUAGGUAGCUUAACCUUCGGGAGGGCGCUUACCACUUUGUGAUUCAUGACUGGGGUGAAGUCGUAACAAGGUAACCGUAGGGGAACCUGCGGUUGGAUCACCUCCUUACCUUAAAGAAGC